UCAAAAAUUAAAAAGUGAUGACAGCAAUUCUGGAAUAACUUCUGAGUUCUGAUGGAUUGUAAAGCAUGCAAGCUAAUGGAUGUAGUCAUCCAUCCAUGAAGAAGACUUCUAUGGUUAAAGCAUCCCAGCUGAUCUAAAAUAUUUUUCUAAGACACUGACAUACCUUAUGGUUUCAAGUGGUCUUUAACUGCUUUUGAUUCAAUGAGGAUUGUACAAAACAAAUAACUUUGCCAUUAUACUAAAGCCUAUUCCCAUGUCAUGUUUCCAGAAAACAGCUCAUGUUUGAGACAAGUUCAGUUAUCUGUAGUUAGAUUUUUAUUUUUUUUUAAUGCUGGAAUAGUCAUUCUGCCAUGGCUCAGGAAUAGCUAAUGGAAUUUCAUUCAAGCCUCGUUUAAAAAACAAAACCCAUACUUUUUGGCAGGAUACAAGUGGGAAGAGAUUUAGUCCACAAGAUAUAUUUUAUCCUGGCAUGUAGGAGAACAGUUGGUGGAAAAUGGUUUCCCCUGUAGCCAGUUAGAAACUUUAACUAUCUGCCAGUGAUUGCUGUGAAUGUGCUGCAUGACAUGUCAUGAGAAUUCACAUAAAUAAAAAGGGAAAAGCAUCCAGUUCAGGACUGCAUCUAUGGGAGGGUUGGAAAGAAAUAUAUGAUGAGAGGGAGAGAAGAGUUUUAUAAUCAAAACUUCUAGGAGCAGACCUCUGGAGCCCUGGCUGGGAUACUGAGACCUUCUGCAGUAGUUGUUUUUGGAUUACAUUUAUUACUCUGCCCUGAACUGAGGAUAAUGAGGAAGGUUAAAAGGCAAGUUUAUUGUUAGUGCUUAUAGGCUCAUUGUUCAGAAUUGCAUUAGUUGUAACUGUGACACUAUGAUACAAACAGAACUUGCAACAUCUGAAAUUUAAAACUGUUGAAAAAAAUUUGAAAGAAUCCAUAGAGUACAAAAAUUUCAAAGGAAUGUAAGCGUUCAUGUUAAGCAGAAUUUAAGUGUCUACAGUUUACCACUUUACUGACUUUAUCUGGUCAGAUGUGACUCUUAUCCAUGUUUCUUUAAUCUUUUUAGCCAGUUGAAAUUUCUGACGAAUUUUGGAAGUUCAAGCAAACUUGAUAAAAACAUCUCACUCCCACCCAUGCUAUUUAAUUCCUACUUGAUAAACUUGCUCUGCAGUUCCUGUGGCUUUAAUGAGGUCAGAAAUAGUGCCAGAAUUACUAAGCUGUAUGUUGAGACCCCAGGCAUUUGACUAGAAAGUGGAAUUUUGGAAGCAGUAUCUCCCAGUUAUUCGGUUUUAGCACAAAUCCACCUAAUGAAACAGCAUUAAAGCUUUUAAAGUUUGCAGUCAUGAUCACUUGCAGAGGUGGUGGUAGCUGGCCCACGGUGUGCUGUUGUUACAGCCAGGGGAGGUUUCAAGGUCUCUUGGCUGCCAUUAAUGAAAAGGUGAAGUUUUUAUGUAGCUUCAUCUUGCCUUUUCAGGCACCCCAAGCCUUCAGCUUGGUGAGAUGGGGGAGUGAAAGGUGUCUGAGUUCUCCUGUGCCAUGCAGAGGGCCUGGAUGAACAACCAACGGAUCUGUGAGAGCCAGCAGACCGCUCUGGAGAUUCUGGGGAUUUGUUUCCUGGGUAGCUACACUGAAGGGAGAAAAAUCCCGAUCAGGCAGGAGCUUCAACUUGUGUAAAAGGCAAAAGGCUCCUGCAGUGUUGAUGUUUUGUGAAGAGAUGCGUUGGGGAGCUGUGGGGAGCAUGGCCUCCCCCUCAAGUGGUGGCAGGUGGGGGGUGUCCAUGAAGCCAAGAGCCAGCCUGAGCCCCUGGGCAGUGCUGGGCAGUGCUGGGCAAUGCUGGACAGUGCUGGACAUCCCUGGUCAGUGCAGGGGAUCCAGGGGCAGAGGGACAGAAGGCUCCUGGUGCUGUCUGACCUGGCAGGUCUCCAGAUGUCCUGUAUUUCCCACAGCAAACCUCAGCUGCUUGGCAGCAUGACAGCAGCGGUGAGGGCCAUCAGGCUUCUCAGUCUUUCCCUGAGAGUCCAGCUCAGCAAAUUAGACCUGUCCUGCACUGACUUGAUAAACCUGAUGUGCUUCUGGACAAAGUUACCUCUCAUCUGUGAGCAAGUGAUUUGCUUAUUUCUCCCACAGUCAAUAGGUUUGGCAUUUUCAUGGAGGACUGCAACUGCCAGCAUCAGGAAAGUUUAAAGGAAGGCUCCUGCUCGUGGGCUUGAUGCACUAAGCUUUGCUGAUUUCUCACUACUGACCCAGCAGGUUGUGAACAUGUGCUUGCUGACCACAUCUACCUUACCAGGAGGCGAAAAAUCAUGGAAUCAUA